rnacentral:tRNA from 1 species
GUACCCUUAGUUCAGUUGGUUUAGAACGCAAAACUGUUAAUUUUGAAGUCGCAGGUUCGAAUCCUGCAGGGUGCG